CCUACGGGAGGCAGCAGUGGGGAAUAUUGCACAAUGGGGGAAACCCUGAUGCAGCAACGCCGCGUGAGCGAUGAAGGCCUUCGGGUCGUAAAGCUCUGUCCUAAGGGAAGAAUACUGACGGUACCUUAGGAGGAAGCCCCGGCUAACUACGUGCCAGCAGCCGCGGUAAUACGUAGGGGGCUAGCGUUAUCCGGAAUUACUGGGCGUAAAGGGUGCGUAGGCGGCCCUUCAAGUCAGAGGUGAAAGGAUACGGCUCAACCGUAGUAAGCCUUUGAAACUGUAGGGCUUGAGUGCAGGAGAGGAGAGUGGAAUUCCCAGUGUAACGGUGAGAUGCGUAGAUAUUGGGAGGAACACCAGUUGCGAAGGGGGCUCUCUGGACUGUAAAUGAAGCUGGGGCAAGAAGGCGUGGGAAGCGAGCAGGAUUAGGUGCCCGAGUAGGC
rnacentral:rRNA from 1 species